CCUCAAGUUCGGCCAUCUUGCUCUCAGAGAUCUAGAACUGGUAGGAAAAUAUAGCCUUGAUAGUGGAGAGGAGACUAUUGCUGUUGUGAAGGACUCAGAGAACCAGGCAGAGAGCCCAGAUUGACACAGCAGGACUCAGUCAAAAUUUUGGGCCAAGGAGACAGACGCGCUGUCGCCUGCACUAAGAGAAACGCAACGAACAACUUUAUCAAUGCAUUGCAUUACUAUAUACUAUAGCAGCAACUAUACUUUUAAAUGAUUCGAAUCUUGGAGUUUCAAACUGAACCGUCCUGCCCGGCGGGCAUUUCUGCGAAGACCGCGGGUCACCUUCUGAAUUUUUACCUUCAUAAACAGCAACGACUGCGCUCUCUCGCACGGCGCCCCGUUUUUUCGUAGCGUUCCCUCGGCCAAAACCACUUGAAACUCGCUCAGCGGCGUCGGGGCUCCAGCCGGGCGUCACCUUCCACGGCGAACCUGCGACCCACAGCGUCCCCUGGGGCUUUCGGUCCGCGUGGCCGCUUCCUCAUACAUCGGUGACACAAGGCAAGGGCAUCUAGGAUCCGCCGGUUUCCUUCCUCACUGCUCCCAUCAGUGCGAAAGCAACGUGUUGGGGGGUCGGGGUGUGUGGCGGCUGAACAGCUGCCUGAAGUUCUCUGAUGGCGCUGGAGGGAGCUCCAGAGAAAAGGUCAUGGGGAGAACACACACCUUAAAACGCCGUAGGGGGCGACAUUCCCUAAUGGGAAAAAAGACAGCUUAAACGCCGUAGGGGGCGACAUUCUCUACUAGGGAAAAUGCGUAAGAACAUACUUAGAACCCAUGGUAGCGUGGCCAAGCGGUCUAAGGCGCUGAAUUAAGGCUCCAGUCUCUUCGGGGGCGUGGGUUCGAAUCCCACCGCUGCCAAGGACUUUUCAUCCUCACUAGGGACUGUUUUUAGGAGAAUCCCUUUCCAAAUGUUCAAUAUGAAUGGUUCUUACGUAUUAAUCCCAUUCUUCUCCUCUUUGACUUCUGUUUACCAUGGAACCAGAGAUAACCAUCCCCAGAACAAUGUUCUCCCAUUAUUUGGAGGACAGUGUACCCCAGGCGCCUCAGAUACAGCAAUGAGUGACACAAGCAAAAAAAAACUUUAAUAGCACAUACUUAGUGCAGUGGCACCAUCUCGGCUCACUGUAACCUCUGCCUCCCCAGUUCAAGCGAUUCUCCUGCCUCAGUCUCCCGAGUGGCUGGGAUUACAGGCGCGCGCCACCACGCCCUGGCUAAUUUUUGUAUUUUUAGUAGAGACAGGGUUUGGCCAUGUUGGUCAGGCUGGUCUCGAACUCCUGGCCUCAAGUGAUCCUCCCUCCUCCGCCUCCCAAAGUGCUGGGAUUACAGGCGUGGGCCACCGCGCGCAGCCCGAGGGAUUAAUUUAUGUUUGGAAUCAGCUGCUGUUCUUCCUCCAGCCUCUCUGUAGUGUGCUCACUUCACACUUGGAACCAUAGUUAUAUGGACUAGAGAAGAAACAACUCUAGGGAAAGUGCCAGUGCCUUGCCUUACAACUGCCAGACACACCCAGCCAGGUGGCUAUAGAAUUUCUGACCCUGAAAAUCCACCAC